UACGGGGGGGGCAAGCGUUGUUCGGAGUUACUGGGCGUAAAGGGCUCGUAGGUGGCCAACUAAGUCAGACGUGAAAUCCCUCGGCUUAACCGGGGAACUGCGUCUGAUACUGGAUGGCUUGAGUUUGGGAGAGGGACGCGGAAUUCCAGGUGUAGCGGCGAAAUGCGUAGAUAUCUGGAGGAACACCGGUGGCGAAGGCGGCGUCCUGGACCAAUACUGACACUGAGGAGCGAAAGCCAGGGGAGCAAACGGG
rnacentral:rRNA from 1 species